GGAAUAGCCAACAGAGAAGCUGAUCUUUGCACCUCUGAGUUAAAAAUAGUUAAAGGAGUUCAUAAGCAAAGAAAAUACAGAGAACGUAAUCUUCCGAGGGAACCGACUUGAGAAGCCUAGUGAGAAUGGGUUAUUGCUAGUGAUGAAUGAGGGGGAUGGGCAUUUACUCCCUCACCGUACGUAGAAUUCAGUUUAGCUGGAGGAAGUUCUCCUUUCUCUUCUCCUGCAGAGGGAACACGUCUCACUGCUAUGAGGCUCUGCUUCACGCUGGAUGAUUUCUUUCAGCGAGAAACCAGCCUGCGUUGAAAAUAUGUUUCAGUCUCCCUUCAGGAAAACUCACUGUCUUUGCCACCACUUCUAGGAGAGUAGAAAAAAUGAAUGGAGGACACCAAAUCUCCCUGAAGCACUGGGGAGAGGAUACCGGAAUUUUGUCUGACCUGUGGUUAUCACUCUUCUGUUAGUCCCUCAAAGCAGACCACAGCAGCUGGGGAUGGGGAUGAAGAUGAGCAAAGGCUGACUCUGAAGAUCAAUGAUCCCAUGCUGCAACAUCCACAUUACCCUUUUAGGCUUGAAACAAAGACACUUGAAAAAUGAAAUGAGACAGCCCAAAGCUACUCUUCCUGAAGUAUGGCCAGAAAUGAGCACAACGGUGAAUCAUGAAUUUCCAAGCUAAAGUUCUACCUGUCUUAGCUGAGAACGUAUCUAGAAUUAACCAAUAUAAUUUAUCAUUCAUGCUAGUCAUUCUGGACAGCAGUAAAAUUUGAAUAUAUUAAAAAUAAAUCAUCUUGACAUCCAGUUCA
rnacentral:lncRNA from 1 species